UGGGGAAUAUUGCACAAUGGGGGAAACCCUGAUGCAGCAACGCCGCGUGAGUGAUGACGGCCUUCGGGUUGUAAAGCUCUUUCUUCAGGGACGAUAAUGACGGUACCUGAGGAGGAAGCCACGGCUCACUACGUGCCAGCAGCCGCGGUAAUACGUAGGUGGCGAGCGUUGUCCGGCUUUACUGGGCGUAAAGGGAGCGUAGGCGGACUUUUAAGUGAGUGGUGAAAUACCCGGGCUCAACUUGGGUGCUGCAUUUCAAACUGGAAGUCUAGAGUGCAGGAGAGGAGAAUGGAAUUCCUAGUGUAGCGGUGAAAUGCGUAGAGAUUAGGAAGAACACCAGUGGCGAAGGCGAUUCUCUGGACUGUAACUGACGCUGAGGCGCGAAAGCGUGGGGAGCAAACA
rnacentral:rRNA from 1 species